AUUGAACGCUGGCGGCAGGCCUAACACAUGCAAGUCGAACGGCAGCACAGAAGAGCUUGCUCUUUGGGUGGCGAGUGGCGGACGGGUGAGUAAUGUCUGGGAAACUGCCCGAUGGAGGGGGAUAACUACUGGAAACGGUAGCUAAUACCGCAUAACGUGGCAAGACCAAAGUGGGGGACCUUCGGGCCUCACACCAUCGGAUGCGCCCAGAUGGGAUUAGCUAGUAGGUGGGGUAAUGGCUCACCUAGGCGACGAUCCCUAGCUGGUCUGAGAGGAUGACCAGCCACACUGGAACUGAGACACGGUCCAGACUCCUACGGGAGGCAGCAGUGGGGAAUAUUGCACAAUGGGCGCAAGCCUGAUGCAGCCAUGCCGCGUGUAUGAAGAAGGCCUUCGGGUUGUAAAGUACUUUCAGCGGGGAGGAAGGCGGUGAGGUUAAUAACCUUGCCGAUUGACGUUACCCGCAGAAGAAGCACCGGCUAACUCCGUGCCAGCCGCCGCAGUAAAAC
rnacentral:rRNA from 1 species